rnacentral:tRNA from 1 species
AUGGUAUUAGUUUAAGUAAAAAUUUUAGAUUGUCAUUCUAGGGAUGCUCUAAAAGGGGCAUAUCAUG